rnacentral:rRNA from 1 species
AUUGAACGUUGGCGGCAGGCCUAACACAUGCAAGUCGAGCGGUAACACAGAGGGCUUGCUCUCGGGUGACGAGCGGCGGACGGGUGAGUAAUGUCUGGGAAACUGCCUGAUGGAGGGGGGAUAACUACUGGAAACGGUAGCUAAUACCGCAUAAUGUCGCAAGACCAAAGAGGGGGGACCUUAGGGCCUCUUGCCAUCGGAUGUGCCCAGAUGGGAUUAGCUAGUAGGUG